CUGACAGCCCUGGAGACUGAAGUCCUCUAUUUAUCCACAGAACAGGUAACAGCAAGGGCAGCAGCAGUGUAAGCUUACCCUGAGUUGCCCCACCAAAGUGUGUCAACCCUGACCUAAGGGGACUCACUUCCGGGGGUGAAAAGGUAGUUCAGUCUCAAUGCCCAGUCAAUCCUUUGCCUCU
ensembl:misc_RNA